rnacentral:rRNA from 1 species
GACGAACGCUGGCGGCAUGCCUAAUACAUGCAAGUCGAGCGAACAGAUGAAGUGCUUGCACUUCUGACGUUAGCGGCGAACGGGUGAGUAACACGUAAGGAAUCUACCUAUAAGCGGGGGAUAACAUUCGGAAACGGGUGCUAAUACCGCAUAAUAUCUUCUUCCGCAUGGAAGAAGAUUGAAAGACGGCUCUGCUGUCACUUAUAGAUGACCUUGCGGUGCAUUAGUUAGUAGGUGGGGUAAUGGCCUACCAAGACGAUGAUGCAUAGCCGACCUGAGAGGGUGGUCGGCCACAUUGGGACUGAGACACGGCCCAAACUCCUACGGGAGGCAGCAGUAGGGAAUCUUCCGCAAUGGGCGAAAGCCUGACGGAGCAAUGCCGCGUGAGUGAAGAAGGCCUUCGGGUCGUAAAACUCUGUUAUAAGAGAAGAACAAAUUGUAGAGUAACUGCUACAGUCUUGACGGUAUCUUAUCAGAAAGCCACGGCUAACUACGUGCCAGCCGCCGCAGUAA